rnacentral:sRNA from 1 species
CGCCCGGCCUCGGAGCGGACGGAUCCGGGAGGGAGCCAGGCGGGCCAUGGGGAGGGGCAGGGGCUUAGCCGCUGGCGAGUGAGGACCGGGUCGGGAGGAAGGGGUCACACCUGGAGUUCAGCCUCUUGGGUAGGGGCGGGAUACGUGGGGCGGCUCGAGGAGCUGCCAGGACUAGGGAGGGCUGCGGGACAAGACGGGGCGGGAUCUGGAUGACGUUUGCCCCUAAGACGCCGCGAGGAGGCCAGGCUUUGCAACCAUCUCCAUAAAGAAGGGGCAAGUUCGAGGACGGAAAGCCCACUCAAAGGGCGGGGGGCGGGGCCUGGCAAGAGGGGGUGUGGCCAGGAUCCCAGGCAGUAAAUUGUGUGGCGGGGUCUGGAUGGAAAGGCGGGGCCCGCUGAAAGAAGGCGACCCGAGUUCUGCUACUUCCUAGUAAGGGACGUCUCUGGAGAGAUUCUGAGGUGUUUGAGGUCAGUGGUUUUCAAUCUUGGUUGGCUACACAUAGGAAUCACUUGAGGGGCUUGAGAAAAAUACCGACACCUGAGUCCCACCCCCGAGAAAUUCUGAUGAAAUGGGUCCAGGGUGCAGCCUGAGUGGUGGAACUGGGACCAGGGCCGAGGAGUGGACAAGUAUAGGGGUAUUUCUGACCCUUCUCCUCAUUUCACCUCUUCUUUCUCCCACGGGUUCCUUUCUGGAAGCCUCUUUUGCCUACACACCGGCAGGUAAGCCAUCUCUGCCCCAGUGGGGUUCAGACCCCCCCAGGACGGGCCCUUCUCUCACUCAUUCGCCCCCUCAUUUUCCCCAGUGUCCUUCCCGCACUCAGAGGGCCUCUCUGGAGCCAGUUCCAGGUAAUUCUCUUAGCCCAUUUCCUCAGGAUGACCUCCACCGACAGGCCACUCUUCUUCCGCCCCGCUGCCGCCCCAGGUGGAGGGAGCAUGGCCACCUCCCACCCCAACACCACCGCCACUGUCCUGAGACUCCCGAAUAUCGCCACCUCCCUUUCCUUUGCUGGCCUCUUCAGGGUCUCCGUCCCCAACGCUCACCUGCUCUCCCUCAGGCCACCCAUGGGCCUUGGCCCCGCCCCCUACUCAUGGCUGGCAGAUUCGUGGCCCCACCCAUCUCGAAGCCCCUCGGCCCAGGAACCCAGGGGAAGCUGCUGCCCUAGCAAUCCUGACCCGGACGACAGAUAUUACAACGGUGAGGAGUUCUCAUUCCCUCACCUGGCUUCAGCGCACUUCUCCCGACCUACUGGGGCAAACCGAAGGGCGCCCGGGAGCCCGGUCUCUCUGAGGUUGGUCAGUCCCUGGGGAGGAUGUGAGCUGGGGAAGCCUCUCUGACCUACCUCCACCCUGGUUUAGGAUGUAAGGCUUGUGUGGGGGAAGAAGUUGAUCCCGUGGGAUUUCCCUUUGUCUUCCAUCUGUUGUCCUCUAUGUUUCUGUCUCUGCUUCCGGGCCUCCCUCUUUCUUCUCUGCAGAAGCAGGAAUCUCCCUGUAUCUAGCUCAGACGGCCAGGGGCACGGCCGCCCCUGGCGAGGGUCCUGUCUAUAGCACCAUUGACCCAGCGGGGGAGGAGCUGCAGACCUUCCAUGGGGGCUUCCCCCAACAUCCCUCAGGAGAUCUGGGCCCCUGGAGCCAGUACGCUCCUCCAGAGUGGAGCCAGGGGGACAGUGGAGCCAAGGGAGGCAAAGUGAAGCUUCUGGGGAAACCUGUGCAGAUGCCCUCUCUGAACUGGCCAGAAGCCCUGCCCCCACCUCCUCCUUCUUGUGAACUGAGCUGCUUAGAAGGGCAGGAGGAGGAGCUGGAGGGCAGCUCAGAGCCAGAGGAGUGGUGCCUGCCAAUGCCUGAGAGAAGUCACCUGACGGAACCCAGCUCCAGUGGAGGGUGCCUGGUCACUCCAUCCCGAAGGGAAACCCCCUCUCCCACACCUUCCUAUGGACAGCAGUCCACAGCCACUCUUACACCCUCACCUCCUGACCCUCCCCAGCCCCCAAAUGACAUGCCCCAUCUCCAUCAGAUGCCCAGGUAGGGAGGUAUAUAGUACCUCACUCAUUGCAAGCCCUCUAUACGUAUCUACUCAGUAGAUGACUGGGUGGGUGGAUGGAUGGAUGGGUGGAUGGAUCUGGGGUACAGAGGUCUCAGGGCUGUGUCAGGGUGGAAGUAUAAUUUGGGCAGGAAUAUGGAGGCUGACAAGAUCUCUCAUGCCCAUUAGACUGGCUCUUGCUGGAGUGGUCAGCAUUCUACCUGAGACAUUUCAGAUAUGGCUCUCCUUAUGCUUCUCUAGCUUGGGAGGACUUACGGGCGGACGGGUUGUGUCUUGUUUAUCUGUUAGGUUGAUUGUCUAGCACAGUGCUGGGCACAUAGUAGGCAUUCAGUUUUUGUGGAGGGAACAGAGGCUGAGGCCUCCUGUCAUUGCAGGAGGGUGCCCCUUGGGCCGAGUUCCCCUCUCAGUGUAUCCCAGCCCAUGCUGGGCAUCCGUGAAGGGAGGCCUGCUGGCUUGGGUGCUGGCCCUGCAGCCUCACCCCACCUCAGCCCCAGUCCUGCCCCUAGCACAGCCAGCAGUGCCCCAGGCAGAACCUGGCAGGGGAAUGGGGAGAUGACUCCCCCACUUCAAGGACCCCGUGCUCGAUUCCGGAAGAAACCCAAGGCUCUUCCCUACAGGAGGGAGAACAGUCCUGGGGACUUGCCCCCACCACCCUUGCCACCGCCAGAGGAAGAGGCGAGCUGGGCCCUAGAGCUGAGGGCAGCAGGCAGCAUGUCCUCCCUGGAGCGGGAGCGCAGUGGGGAGAGGAAAGCGGUCCAGGCCGUGCCCCUGGCCGCCCAGCGGGGGCUCCACCCAGAUGAAGAGGCCUGGCUCCCAUACAGCAGACCAAGCUUCCUGUCCCGGGGCCAGGGCACCAGCACAUGUUCCACGGCCGGCAGCAACUCUUCCAGGGGCUCCAGCAGUUCUAGGGGCUCCCGGGGCCCUGGCCGGAGCCGGAGUCAGAGCCGGAGCCAGAGCCAAAGGCCAAGACAGAAACGCCGAGAGGAACCAAGAUGACCCUUGUUGGGGCAUUGAGAAUAUCAUGAGUGCCACGGGGAAGGGGAGUAGGAUGUCUUUUCCCUCCCAGCAGUGAUGAGUGGGGCUAGCUGAAGCCCAUUGGUUUCCACGAUUUCAAUUGGCUGAGAAGGCAGAGAGCUAGCUCCUCCCUUUCUUUCUCUUUCCACCUGAGACUUGUUUAUAAAAAACAAAACAAUAAAAAGAGUCUGAUCAGA